rnacentral:rRNA from 1 species
AUUGAACGCUGGCGGAAUGCUUUACACAUGCAAGUCGAACGGUAGAGGGGGCAACCCCUUGAGAGUGGCGAACGGGUGAGUAAUAUAUCGGAACGUGCCCAGUCGUGGGGAUAACGUAGCGAAAGUUACGCUAAUACCGCAUACGAUCUAAGGAUGAAAGCGGGGGAUCGCAAGACCUCGCGCGAUUGGAGCGGCCGAUAUCAGAUUAGGUAGUUGGUGAGGUAAAGGCUCACCAAGCCGACGAUCUGUAGCUGGUCUGAGAGGACGACCAGCCACACUGGGACUGAGACACGGCCCAGACUCCUACGGGAGGCAGCAGUGGGGAAUUUUGGACAAUGGGCGCAAGCCUGAUCCAGCAAUGCCGCGUGCAGGAUGAAGGCCUUCGGUUGU